rnacentral:tRNA from 1 species
GCCUGGGUGGCUCAGUUGGUUAAGCGUCCGACUUCAGCUCAGGUCGUGAUCUCACAGUUUGUGGGUUCAAGCCCAUAUCAGGCU